AGUGAACGCUGGCGGUAGGCCUAACACAUGCAAGUCGAACGGCAGCACAGUAAGAGCUUGCUCUUACGGGUGGCGAGUGGCGGACGGGUGGGGAAUACAUCGGAAUCUACUUUUUCGUGGGGGAUAACGUAGGGAAACUUACGCUAAUACCGCAUACGACCUACGGGUGAAAGCAGGGGAUCUUCGGACCUUGCGCGAUUGAAUGAGCCGAUGUCGGAUUAGCUAGUUGGCGGGGUAAAGGCCCACCAAGGCGACGAUCCGUAGCUGGUCUGAGAGGAUGAUCAGCCACACUGGAACUGAGACACGGUCCAGGCUCCUACGGGAGGCAGCAGUGGGGAAUAUUGGACAAUGGGCGCAAGCCUGAUCCAGCCAUACCGCGUGGGUGAAGAAGGCCUUCGGGUUGUAAAGCCCUUUUGUUGGGAAAGAAAAGCAGCAGGUUAAUACCCCGCUGUUCUGACGGUACCCAAAGAAUAAGCACCGGCUAACUUCGUG
rnacentral:rRNA from 1 species